rnacentral:rRNA from 1 species
AGAGCGAACGCUGGCGGCAGGCCUAAUACAUGCAAGUCGAGCGCACCUUCGGGUGAGCGGCGGACGGGUGAGUAACGCGUGGGAAUAUGCCCUUUGGUACGGAACAACUGAGGGAAACUUCAGCUAAUACCGUAUGUGCCCUUCGGGGGAAAGAUUUAUCGCCAUUGGAGUAGCCCGCGUUGGAUUAGGUAGUUGGUGAGGUAAAGGCUCACCAAGCCUACGAUCCAUAGCUGGUCUGAGAGGAUGAUCAGCCACAUUGGGACUGAGACACGGCCCAAACUCCUACGGGAGGCAGCAGUAGGGAAUCUUGCGCAAUGGGCGAAAGCCUGACGCAGCCAUGCCGCGUGAAUGAUGAAGGUCUUAGGAUUGUAAAAUUCUUUACACCGGGGAAGAUAAUGACGGUACCCGGAGAAGAAGCCCCGGCUAACUUCGUGCCAGCAGCCGC